CAUACUAUUCUAGUCUUCAUUUUCAAAUUUUUAUCCACUGAUUUGGUGAAAAAGGUUUUUUAGAUUUUUGAAUAAUAAAUAAAUCAAUGAAAAAUGUUAUUCUGUUAAUUUUCACUAUCGUUUUCAAUGAUUAUCAUAGGAAACUAAAACAUGCAGUUGCCUGUAUCGUCCAGAUUUGGCAGUGUGGAUCUGAGAGCAUCAAACUAUAGGCAGCAAUACAUUGACAAUAUGUUUAUUAUGAAAAAUGGGAAAGCAUGACUGCGUUUGUCCCAUCAUUUUACAUAUACGCAUCCAAAAAUAAAGGAAAGGACAUCAAACAAAGCAUCAAACAAUAUUCUGUCAGCCACCAGAAUUAAUUAGAACAAAGUCAGGUGUCAAAUAUGUUUUGUUCAUUAAUAUUCUAUCGAGCUGAAAUGGCUUAGAUUUCGUACUGUUAUUCACAUGCCCAAAUGAUUGUCGAUGCUUCUUAUCUUGAACUUUGAUCAACUAGAUUAAGUCAGCAGUUAACACACAAAAAAUAGUUAUGUCCUGGUUAGGCAGUGCAGUAGAUAGACUAUUUCUCCUAUAAGAGUUUUGUCAAAUUGACCGCCAUAAUGGAGGUAGGCUACCGUUCAAAAAUUUGGAGUCACAAACACUGGCGUAGCUGUCUGCGAUGCGGCAGCACCAGGGCCAGCGAUUCUCUCGUCUUUUCACUUGAUGAAAAAGUUAGUUUUCCUCACAUUUAAUGAUAGUUAUUGUAUAAAUUUAAUUCACGAAUGAAAGAAAAAUUUAUGUUGUUUUGCCAUGAAUGAAGAAAAUACGUUAUUAUGCCAUAAGCGUCCAUCUGGGGUAAAGUGGCACAUUUGCAGGCAAAUUUGCGCCGGAACAGUGGACGUGCACUGUGACGUUUUAAAGAUGAAACUCCGCGACUGAAAUUUCGCCUCCAGUUAAUUGUCAAGGGAGUCACGUGACCAUGCGCUGGAGGCAAAUGUGGGAUACACAGGAGGGCGAAGCUGGCAUGAGAGGUGCAAGAAAAUAGAGCUCCCCUCUAUAAUAAGCAAAAUUAAGACUAAUUAUGCUAGCCGGCGUUGGGCGAUAGCCAAUCAGAAAAUGUGUGUCUGUUCCUCCUUUCUGCUGUAUCGCUGUGAAAAGUUCCUACUAUAGCCUACUAUCACACUAUCCUACAACCGACAUUAUUCAUUUUUUGCCGUGUCCGGAUUUCCAGAGCUGUACAAUGUCCCUGUUCAAAUAUUACUACUGAGCAGGAAGACAUUUCAUUUCGUGUUAUUAAUUGCUAAUUAAUAGAAUACGUUGUCAUCAAAUACACAAACACUACACUAGCUACUGUAGCCUAGUACGGCCUUAAUAGCUAAUAUCUUUUUGAUUUGAAGAAUGGCGAAAAAUGAACUUUUCCACAAUAUUCAUAUGUUUUUGAGAUGCAUCUGUAAUUCAAUUGUAUUUCCCAUUGACCUAUUCAGUUAAUCUGUUACAGUGAUUCGUUCCACUCUUUGGAAAUAUAUAUAUAUAACGGGUCAAAUUCCAAUCACACCAAUAGGAAAUGUAAUGUUUAUAUGGAACCCUCAAAUAUGCAUGACAAAAUAAUUCUACUUUUUCUUUUUCAUUCUAACACCACAGUCCCAGGUUAUCUGGGCUGAGAUCAAAAUGUUGUCAAACUAAGGUGAUGCCCCUGUUGAUAGACACACUUUUCACCACUAUUUAUUUUGUAAGAAUGCCACCAGACUAUACCAGCUUACUGUGAAACCGGUUUAUAUUAAAACAAUAUGACUUUCCCUGAUGUCUGGAUAAACUCUGAUCCACCCUGUUGUUGGUUUUGAUUGUAUUACUAACCCAAAGCUAACAUCGGCUCAUUAUUAGUAGAUGUUAAGAAGAAGAAAAAUAGGGCUUUCUGAACCAGAGCAUAUAUAUGUUAACCGUGCUGAGAUGAGAGAAUCCUCUACAGCUCAACCGACUGAGAGAUUUGACGGGGAGGUGGAAAAUCCCACAACUGACAGGUCAUUGCCCAAUCCACCAGUACAUGUCUAGCAAGCCGGCAAAUACAGGAUCAAGUGCUGGGUGGCCUGCGACUCGAAAUCCAGCUACGCGUGAAAGAUGCAAGUGUACCCCGGGAAUCCGACCGUCGAGGGGCUGGAGAACAACCAGGGCAUUCAGGAAAAGGAGUGGCAGCCGUUCCCACAGGUUCUAGGAGGUGAGAGGGGCACCCCAGGAGAGAGAGGCGAAGUGGGACCUAAUGGGCUGCCAGGGCCCAACAGGACUUCAGGAUGACCGGGACCAGAAGUCCCAAAGGCAUGUACCUCAUCAUAGACAUUCAUUCAUUUAACCAGGUUGUCCCAUUAAAGACAGUUAGCGAAACCUAAUGAAUAUUUACAUUGCAAUGAUUAGCCUUAGAUAUCCAAGGUAUUUCCCAUUAAAAUUAGGUUAUUGUAUGUGUGUUCUCCCUACCAGGGUGGGGCUGGGACUAAAGGAGCUGUCGGAGACAUAGGAGACAUAGGCCUGCAUGGGGUGCCAGGGGAGAGGGGUCUUCCUGGAUUUCCUGGUCCAAAAGGAGAUAUGGUAAGGACUUAACCAAAACUGCGAGUCCCUAGUGUAACUAAAUUAGGACAUACAUUUUAGUCAUUAGGCAUGCGCUCUUAUACAGAGUGGCUUGCAUUUAGUACUUCAGAUUUUAUGAUAUCAGAAGGAACUGCUGGUUUUGACCCUUUGUAUUGGUCUGUCAGCCCAGUACAGGAAUUUUUCACAGUACAGUAGUGGGCUGAUGGGCGUUCAUUCAGAAACCUAUUUCAUUUUCAAAUAUAUUUCAUUUUACAGAAAUUAGGUUUCUAUAAACAUUUGUUUGAACAUUUAGUACUUUAGUUAGUUGAAAAUAAUUUUAUAUUGACGAAUCAUUUACAUUGACGAAUCAUGCAGCUAAAACGAAUUGUAAAGUACUGAAUGUAGAUAAUGUAUGCAGUCUUUGUAAUGUAUGUAACACUCUCGAUAAGUGUGAACUCAAUGCCAAAAAUUUACAUUUUCAUAAUGUUUGAUAACCUUUUUUCUCUAUAUUUAGUUUUUAUCUAUACUAUGAUUUCUUCACCAUUGCAGUCAUUCUGAGGGGAGCUCUUGGGUGAUGAAAUAUAUCAAAUGUAUGCCAGAAUUCUGAUAUUAUUUACUAAAUCACUUAAUGUCUAAAAAUGCUAAAUAAAAUCACAAAAUAUUGCCUUUUUUUUGCCUUUUUAAAAUAUUGCUCAAGCUUC